ACGCGAAGAACCUUACCUGGUCUUGACAUCCACGGAAGUUUUCAGAGAUGAGAAUGUGCCUUCGGGAACUGUGAGACAGGUGCUGCAUGGCUGUCGUCAGCUCGUGUUGUGAAAUGUUGGGUUAAGUCCCGCAACGAGCGCAACCCUUAUCCUUUGUUGCCAGCGGUCCGGCCGGGAACUCAAAGGAGACUGCCAGUGAUGAACUGGAGGAAGGUGGGGAUGACGUCAAGUCAUCAUGGCCCUUACGACCAGGGCUACACACGUGCUACAAUGGCGCAUACAAAGAGAAGCGACCUCGCGAGAGCAAGCGGACCUCAUAAAGUGCGUCGUAGUCCGGAUUGGAGUCUGCAACUCGACUCCAUGAAGUCGGAAUCGCUAGUAAUCGUGGAUCAGAAUGCCACGGUGAAUACGUUCCCGGGUCUUGUACACACCG
rnacentral:rRNA from 1 species